GUGGAUUAGAUACCCUGGUAGUCCAUGCCGUAAACGUUGGGCACUAGGUGUGGGGACCAUUCCACGGUUUCCGCGCCGCAGCUAACGCAUUAAGUGCCCCGCCUGGGGAGUACGGCCGCAAGGCUAAAACUCAAAGGAAUUGACGGGGGCCCGCACAAGCGGCGGAGCAUGCGGAUUAAUUCGAUGCAACGCGAAGAACCUUACCAAGGCUUGACAUGUUCUCGAUCGCCGUAGAGAUACGGUUUCCCCUUUGGGGCGGGUUCACAGGUGGUGCAUGGUUGUCGUCAACU
rnacentral:rRNA from 1 species